CCUACGGGAGGCAGCAGUGGGGAAUAUUGCACAAUGGGGGAAACCCUGAUGCAGCGACGCCGCGUGAGUGAAGAAGUAUUUCUGUAUGUAAAGCUCUAUCAGCAGGGAAGAAAAUGACGGUACCUGACUAAUACUCCCCGUCUAACUACGUUCCAGCAGCCGCGGUCAUACGUAGGGGGCAAGCGUUAUCCGGAUUUACUGGGUGUAAAGGGAGCGUAGAGGGCGGAACAAGUCAGAAGUGAAAACCCGGGGCUCAACCCUGGGAGUGCUGUUGAAACUGUUUGGCUGGAGUGCAGGAGAGGGAAGCGGAAUUCGUAGUGUAGCGGUGAAAUGCGUAGAUAUUAGGAGGAACACCAGUGGCGAAGGCGGCUUACUGGACUGUAACUGACGUUGAGGCUCGAAAGCGUGGGGAGCAAACAGGAUUAGAUACCCGAGUAGUC
rnacentral:rRNA from 1 species